UUUCCAGGCAGGAUUUUGUCACAGAUCUUCUAACCACAGCCUUCUAGGGUAAUGAAAGUCCAGGACACAUCCAGCUCAGUUUUUCAGAUUUAUUUGGUGAAAUAUAUAUACAGGUGUUUCAAAAUGAAAAAUAAACAAAACAAAAUUCCUUGCUCUUGCUUGAGCACUUACUAUACACAACAAAUCCCUAUCUGGAAUUGGGUGGCUUUCCCACUUG